AGUUUAAUUUCCCAAACUCUGGGUGAUUUAAUCCUCAUGAGCUUGAUUUCCUCCGUAUUUUGAAGAGUUUAAAUUCAGUUGCGAGAGAUAUUGUGAUUCAAGAGUAUUGCUAACCUAAAGGCUGUGAUAACAUAUUUUAGGAGCUUUCUAUCUGUCAUCACAAAAAUAAAAGCCUUGCCUUUGAAUAUGUUGGUAAACACUCGUAUCUUAAUUUAUGUCCCUGUUAAAUGGGGCCAGUUGUUUUUUAUAUAUUCAGAAUUAUUGCAUAUGUUUGCAAGUGAAUAGGAGCUAUUUAUGUGUAUUGUUAAAAAUUCAGGUAAAAGUCAAGUCAUCUAUAAUCUUUUUUCCAGGGCUCUCUUACACUUCCUUAUUUACAUUUCUGCUCCCUUUUCUUUUCUUUCUUUCUUUUUUUCCAAGAUUUUAGCCAUAGAAGUAAUGGGUUUCUGUAACACUGACAGGCAACUCAUUGCUUUCACAAAUAUGCCCCUGGAGAUGGACUACCCAAAUAGUUACUCUCACUGGCCAGUGAAAAAUCAGUGUGGUCUGAUAACAUUUAGAAAGGAUUGAAAUAGUCCUUUGAGCAGAAAUUAUUUUAUUAUUUAAGAACACUUCCUAACUAAAGACUUACUUUCCCUCAAUGCUAAUUUGACGAUCUUCCUGCAAAUAAGACCUGGGGAUGUGGCAUUACUGAACGUGGCAAAGCUAUGUCAUGAAGUCAUUGCUUAACUGAAUGAAAAGAACUGAUAAGCGCCAAAGAAGAAAGAUGAACCUGGCCAAGUAUAGAUGCAGAGGGUGAAACCCAAUCGCAGAGCGCUGACAGAGCUCCUCUUAUGGCCUGCAGAACAGAUCUACCGAGUCCUACACCUCCUGGCCAGCAGUGACAAGGAUGUGCAGAAUGGAUUAAUGAGUUCUUGUUUUUGGCCCUUGUUUAACUCAAAAACUCGUUUCAACUUAAAUAAAUUAAGAAGGAUGGCUGGGUAAAAAAAAUGGAGAGAAAUGAAAGACUAACUACUUCUAGCUUAGACCACUGCAUCUUCUGCUGACACUGUGGCUUUCCUACCUUUUCCCGGGGAUUUCUCGCAAUGAGGUUCAAAGCACACCUGGCAGCCACUCUGAGACAACAAAGGGCAGAGGCUCUUUGGAGCUGCGGCUGUCGCUUCUCUGGUGUCAAAGAUCAAACCUCGUGGCAGUGAAGUAGGACCUUAUGUAAUCACCAGUGAGAGCUUUGUAAAAGCCAUUUCAGUCUGGCGUGUGAAGAACACACAGCAAGAAGAACGUGGGGAGCAUCUGAAAGAAGAGUACAGCGGUAGAGGCUGCGUGGUCAUUUUGGUGAUCAAGAAGCACCAGCCAGGGGAGAGGUUAUUGUUUGAAUGCCAGUGUGAUUCAGAGAGAGGGCCAGGACACACAAUAUUCACAAGGAGCUGAGAGGAAGAAGUGUCCAGAGCCAUAAAGUCACCAGGGACACACCCAAAGGCAGCUGCUGUGAUGCAGACCUUGAGAGUUAAUUGUUCAUUCAAAGAGGAUUGUGAAACUCAAAUGUAAGAGGAGAAGAUGAUAAUCCAAACAGCACAAUUCUGGGUCUUUUUCUUCUUGUAAAAGGAAGAAAAAAAAAAAAGGAGAGAGAAAAAAGAAAACAAUACCCAGAAAUACUGUACCAUACUGGCAGUUUACUCUCUCUUUCUUGAACCAAAUCAGCAUGUUAAUGACAUAAAAACUUACUUUCCUUAUGGGGACAAUCAGGCUCUAUCACACACAACAUUAAAUACGCGGGUUUUAAAAGGAAAAACAAACCAAAUCACCAGAAACACCUCACUCUGGCAAUGGUGAGGUUGGCCAAAGCAGACUGUGUCCUUAAUGUCCAGCACAACCUGUGAAUCCAGAAAAGCAUCUAUGAAGCUAGACUGGAACUAUCAGGCCUCAUUUCCACCAAAGAGGAGUUCCCUUAAGGAUUCCGGAAGGGGGGAUCUGGAGGAGCUUUCAGUCUCUUUUUUGGAAUGACAGAACCAGGGCAGGCUCCUCUGGGGGUCAGGUCGGCCCCACCAUGCGGAGUCCCUGUGUCUAAAUGAUAAGUAAUCGAAAUGAAAAGACACUAUUUCAAUGGCUGCCCUGAAAGAGUCUUAAAAGCAAAUAAACAAGUCCCCAGCCC
rnacentral:lncRNA from 1 species